UUGAUAAAACGGCCUUCCAUAUUUUAAACUACGUGUUAACACGCAAUUACGCGUUAACACGUAUUUACGUGUUAACGCGUAGUACGUGUUAACACGUUAGUUUCACACGUUUUGGCCCUCUCGGCCUUCCAUAGUUGUAGCAUGCAGCAAUUUUACGAAGAUCAUCGGACAAAGUUUUACUCUGUUUUGACCACGUUGUCUGCUAUUAUAUCGAUUUUGGUUUUGGGUGCGUCAAUCUGGUAAGUAAUCUGUUACUUUACUGUUUUUACUGUUGUUGUACAAUUAUCUGCAUUAAGUAAACUUGGUGUCUUGAAAGUGGAUAUGGGUUUUAUGCCUUUACAAGUAAAUGUGAUGUGCAUCUCAAACUAGUAAACUAGUAAUAAUUUAAUUAGGGAGGGCAUGACAUAAUCGUUGUUAAACAUAGUCACACAGUUGGGGUUCCCGUUUUUUUGCAUGACACAAAAAACUAAAGUUUGUGGUGACGCGUACAUUUGAUCAAGUAACGUUAUGGCGCGAAUGACAAGGCAACAAACAUAUGCAUAACACGUGCGAGAGAAAAAUUGGAGGCCGUUAGCCACUCUCGUCAAUCAUGCUGCAGUUCACACACGCUCUCAUGUGUGGUUUCAGUUGUCCCUAUAUUUUUUUCGUAAAUUUAGAUCAUUUGAAACGAAUUUGUCGGCUUGGCGCGUUUACCUGAGUGUCAAUGUUAAAACAAAGAUUAAAACGAGCUGUUUUUAUUACGUUAUUUUACCCUUUAAAUUAUAGGCUUGUUUUAAUAUUUUUUACGGAGUUUGUUAACGUUACUUGAACUUUUAUUGUACCACAGGGAUAAAUGCAUUAAGUACCGUUUUAGUUUGGCAAUGUCCAUGCAGAAGUGCUUGUGUUAUUAAGAUGAGACAUUUCUGUGCUGUUUUUUAGCUUUUAACAUUUUAAUUAGCUGACUGUACACUUUUUUUUGUGAACAUUGCAAACUAACUAACUUUUGAAUCUUACUUUUUUAGUUUAAAGCUGAAGCAGUUGGCCAACAAACAGAGUUUUAAGUGCGGUAUGUUGAAAAACUAUUAACAACAAUGGACACAUUGCAAUAUAGUGACUAAAAUGUGAAUGAGAAUAGUGUACUGUUAACCAUUUAAGCAAAAAUCUAGUGGCUUGGAGGUGCAAACUUUGUGCUGCUACCUUUGAUAAAAGGGCACAUGUACUGGAACAUUAUCGUUUACAUCAUAGCAGUGUUUCCUCAGUCAGUCUAUUACCAUGUGUCUAUGAUGACUGUGUCGUCACAUUUCAGACUGUAAAUGCAUUAAAAAUACACUUAUCACGAAUACAUACUCAGAUGGAGCAUGAUGUGAAUCCAAUGGAAAGUGUUUCUUUCAUCUGUCUUAAAUGUGGAUUCAAGCAGCCAUUUAAUGGGAAAACUAUUCUCAGUCAUUUAAGGGCACAUUUAAAACAACAUGAGAUGGUGGAUUGUCCAUUGAAAAACUGUUGCUAUCGCAGUAAUGUGUAUACCUCUUUCAAUGCCCACAAAAGUAGGGAUCAUCCAGAUGCUGAUGCUCACGUGUAUAUGUAUAAUGAUAUUAUCUUAACAGAAACUGACAGCCCCACAAUGCGGGGUCAAGUUGAAGCUGCUGACUCUCCUCAGAAUCCUCCUGAGCUGUGUCAAAUGUUCAUAGUCUAAAAUGUUUCCUUUUGUAAAUGUUGUUUUUGGAGAUUGGGCCACAUAUACACCGUUUUAAAUGCACCUUUUUUACAGAUCUGUGGUGAGUUUCAUAGAGUGACAAAUGUCAACCUAAAGAAUUGUUUCUUUGCUCAACUGGACCAAAAUAGGACCCCCGGCUUCAGAGCCUUUAUCGGAAAAUGCUUCUCGGACAGGAAAAGCACCUGAAGUCCUGGAUCAGCUCUUCAGGAUUUAUGACCUCCAGGAUCAAGUUGAUGUCCAUGUUAGAUGUGCUGCUGUACUCCGGGCUCUCCCUCCGUAUAUGCAUGAGAGUGAUGUCAGCUUUUUCAAGAUGUGGGACGUAAUGCUGUCUGAUGAACCGGACAUCAUUGAUGUACCACUUGGGCUCCUCCUUAUCAAUCAAACUUCAUCAGAUGCCAAUUUUUUCUGCACAGAGAGGAUUGCAGUUGUGCUAGAGGGUAACAUUGUUAUUGAGUCCUCCACACUGGCUGAUGCAUUUGUCAUUCUCUUUGCGCUUACGUACACCCUGCACCUUAACUAUCCAAAAACGUUGCUCAACACAUUCGACUUCAUCCAAAAGGUGUUGAUGGGUCUUGAGGAUGGAAAGUUGAGGCCUAGAGUUUUGAGUAAGUACAUUUGUUUUUCUUGCUGUAAAACAUCUAUCAGAUGGGUUUUACAGGUAUUGUUUCUGAAGUUUUAAUGUGUUCGAGUUAAAGUUGAAUGAUGUCCUGUUUUGCACAUUUUUAUACCCGUGUAAUAUGUUUAUAUGUCUAAUACAUAUAUUGGCAUUGACAAAUAUCCUAAAUGUGAUCUACGGUAUGACAGCAGAAAUUUAGAAUUAAAAAAAAAAAAAAAAGUUUAAUCUCUAAUGGUAUUUGUAACUCUUAACAGUAAAGAUAACUCUUUCUCUAUUUCUAAAUCUUUGCAAUGUCACACCAUAGGACACAUUUACACAUGUCAAUUACCCGUGUGUAUUAUAUAUGUUUUUCAGAAAGUGUAGGUGGAAUGGUGUGCUUGCAUUAGGCAUUUGCACAUUGCCCUAUCUUUGUUUAAAAAUUUAAUGAUGUUAAGUUGAGGGAUGCCAUGUUUGCACAUGGAACAGGUCGAUGUGAGAGUUGUUAGGGUUAAAUGCAAGUUAAAUGAUGGCUUUCUUGUAGUAGACAAUUGCACAUUGCAAUACUUUUGCCUUUUUUUGUAUAUUAAACCUCUUACAGAAUUGUUGUUCAUAUUGUAGUAGUUGUAAUGCUAAAUGCUCGUUGAAGGACUGAAUGUUCGCAUGGGAUACUUGUACAUUGAUGUGGCUGAGAGAUUCUGCAUCUGUUUACAUUGCAGUACACACAUUUCUGCUUUAUUUUGUGUACAUAACAAAACACUUAUAGAUAAGAUAAGCUUUGUAUUAUACUUAUUACAAUAUUUGUAAUAUGUGUUACACUUAAUACAUCUGUAUUUUAUGUAAUUAUCAAAAUGUAACCGUUCUUAAAUACAUGUUACAGUUAAAUGUUGUUUUAAAUAAUUGUUUUAGAAAACUUUUAAAAUAGUGAUCCUGAUGUUGAAUGAUGUCACAUGGCACAUUCAUGUGUCGAAGUAUUUUACUUUGUAUUUGUUUAUAUUGAAAUUAUAUGAGAUAUUACAAAUUUUUCUGGAACUUCAUAUUUGGUUAAUAAACAAGUUAU